UCCACAAGUGGCAAAUUUAUGGGUUAUGUCACUCUGGGUUUGCAUCUUUAAAACUGGCAAGUGUAUUUAAGGACUUUUCAGAAUACACUCUGUAUUGUUUAGUUGAUGAAAAGGCAAGUUCUGGUAUGUAAAAGAAAGAAAUGGUUUUGGCCUGAACUUCAAAAGGAGGCAUGGAUGCAGUGCAAAAAUGCUAAUAUCACCUUUAUUAAAAAGCUAAUAAUGAAGCCUAAAAUUCCAGGUAACAGUGCUUCUCAAAGCCAACAAGCUAAAUCUUGAUGAAAUGUCUUUGCCUUGAACUGCGAUUGUAUGAAAACUGAGUUUGCUAAGAGGAAAUGGCAUUCUCCUGCAUGCUAGAUUUCUGUACAAAAAUGGGGAGAGGGGCGUCCACCCAAAUGGGAGAACUUCUCAUCAGAUUGGAAUCUCCUUUCCCCAAGCCCUACAAGCACUCUGAAGCAAGAAGGAGAGCUGAGUCUGGCAAGGGAAGAUUCCCUGUAUCCCUUUUUUGACCAUUCUUCUGUAGACACCUUUCAAGGAGAAAGAGGGACAGA